GCAGUCGAGCGGUAGAGAGAAGCUUGCUUCUCUUGAGAGCGGCGGACGGGUGAGUAAUGCCUAGGAAUCUGCCUGGUAGUGGGGGAUAACGUCCGGAAACGGACGCUAAUACCGCAUACGUCCUACGGGAGAAAGCAGGGGACCUUCGGGCCUUGCGCUAUCAGAUGAGCCUAGGUCGGAUUAGCUAGUUGGUGGGGUAAUGGCUCACCAAGGCGACGAUCCGUAACUGGUCUGAGAGGAUGAUCAGUCACACUGGAACUGAGACACGGUCCAGACUCCUACGGGAGGCAGCAGUGGGGAAUAUUGGACAAUGGGCGAAAGCCUGAUCCAGCCAUGCCGCGUGUGUGAAGAAGGUCUUCGGAUUGUAAAGCACUUUAAGUUGGGAGGAAGGGCAGUAAAUUAAUACUUUGCUGUUUUGACGUUACCGACAGAAUAAGCACCGGCUAACUCUGUGCCAGCAGCCGCGGUAAUACAGAGGGUGCAAGCGUUAAUCGGAAUUACUGGGCGUAAAGCGCGCGUAGGUGGUUCGUUAAGUUGGAUGUGAAAUCCCCGGGCUCAACCUGGGAACUGCAUUCAAAACUGACGAGCUAGAGUAUGGUAGAGGGGUGGGUGGAAUUUCCUGUGUAGCGGUGAAAUGCGUAGAUAUAGGAAGGAACACCAGUGGCGAAGGCGACCACCUGGACUGAUACUGACACUGAGUGCGAAAGCGUGGGGAGCAAACAGGAUUAGAUACCCUGGUAGUCCACGCCGUAAACGAUGUCAACUAGCCGUUGGGAGCCUUGAGCUCUUAGUGGCGCAGCUAACGCAUUAAGUUGACCGCCUGGG
rnacentral:rRNA from 1 species